GAUCAUGGUUCAGGAUGAACGCUAGCUACAGGCUUAACACAUGCAAGUCGAGGGGCAGCAUGACCUAGCAAUAGGUUGAUGGCGACCGGCGCACGGGUGAGUAACACGUAUCCAACCUACCGGUUAUUCCGGGGAUAGCCUUUCGAAGAAAGAUUAAUACCGGAUAGUAUAACGAGAAGGCAUCUUCUUGUUAUUUAAAGAAAUUUCGUAUAACCGAUGGGGAGUGCGUUCCAUUAGUUUGUUUGGCGGGGUAACGGGCCC
rnacentral:rRNA from 1 species